CCGCACAAGCGGUGAGCAUGUGGUUUAAUUCGAAGCAACGCGAAGAACCUUUACCAGGUCUUGACAUCCCUGACAACCCGAGAGAUCGGGCGUUCCCCUUCGGGGGACAGGGUGACAGGUGGUGCAUGGUUGUCGUCAGCUCGUGUCGUGAGAUGUUGGGUUAAGUCCCGCAACGAGCGCAACCCUCGACCUUAGUUGCCAGCAUUCAGUUUGGGCACUCUAAGGUGACUGCCGGCUAAAAGUCGGAGGAAGGUGGGGAUGACGUCAAAUCAUCAUGCCCCUUAUGACCUGGGCUACACACGUGCUACAAUGGGCGGUACAAAGGGUCGCGAACCCGCGAGGGGGAGCCAAUCCCAAAAAGCCGCUCUCAGUUCGGAUUGCAGGCUGCAACUCGCCUGCAUGAAGCCGGAAUCGCUAGUAAUCGCGGAUCAGCAUGCCGCGGUCGAAUACGUUCCCGGGCCUU
rnacentral:rRNA from 1 species